GAUGACCUCUGGCGGCGUGCUUAACACAUGCAAGUCGAACGAAGCACUUUAUUACGAUUUCUUCGGAAUGACGAUUUGGUGACUGAGUGGCGGACGGGUGAGUAACGCGUGGGUAACCUGCCUUAUACGGGGGGAUAACAGUUAGAAAUGACUGCUAAUACCGCAUAAGCGCACAGGAUUGCAUGAUCUGGUGUGAAAAACUCCGGUGGUAUAAGAUGGACCCGCGUCUGAUUAGCUGGUUGGUGAGGUAACGGCCCACCAAGGCGACGAUCAGUAGCCGACCUGAGAGGGUGACCGGCCACAUUGGGACUGAGACACGGCCCAAACUCCUACGGGAGGCAGCAGUGGGGAAUAUUGCACAAUGGGGGAAACCCUGAUGCAGCGACGCCGCGUGAGCGAAGAAGUAUUUCGGUAUGUAAAGCUCUAUCAGCAGGGAAGAAAAAAAUGACGGUACCUGACUAAGAAGCCCCGGCUAACUACGUGCCAGCAGCCGCGGUAAUACGUAGGGGGCAAGCGUUAUCCGGAUUUACUGGGUGUAAAGGGAGCGCAGGCGGUGCGGCAAGUCUGAUGUGAAAGCCCGGGGCUCAACCCCGGGACUGCAUUGGAAACUGUCGUACUUGAGUAUCGGAGAGGUAAGUGGAAUUCCUAGUGUAGCGGUGAAAUGCGUAGAUAUUAGGAGGAACACCAGUGGCGAAGGCGGCUUACUGGACGAUAACUGACGCUGAGGCUCGAAAGCGUGGGGAGCAAACAGGAUUAGAUACCCUGGUAGUCCACGCCGU
rnacentral:rRNA from 1 species